UAUUUAUUUAUAAAUGCUCAAAAAUGGAUGCGAUAAAAAUCACGCGAGGAAGGACAAGGAGGAGCCAAGCGCCGCGGACGCGCUGGGAGGACCGAGCCCAGCUGCUCAAGGGGCGGACGCACCGAGGGAUGGGGCGGAGAGAGACUGGGCCCAGCAGCCGCUGCCGGGGCUCUCCCGAGAGGCGGGGGUGGAGAGGAGCUAGGGGCAGGGGGAGAGGAGAGCAAAGAGUGAGAGUGGAAAAGGCAGCCAGAGAAAUCGGAUUAGGGAGAAGGGGGUUACGAGAGGGCGAAGUGGCUGGGAAAGGAGGUGGCGUGAGAUACAGCAGCCCCUGGGGAAGGAGGAGAUGGGGAUGUGCGUGGAGGCGAACUGGAGCAGAAAGCGCGAUGGAGCAAAAGUACAAAGGGGGUGGGAGCUAACCGGGUACAGUGCACCGCUGGAUGUAAGGGGGGAAAAGCGGUGCACGCCCAUAUCUUUAUUCACACCCAGGCACAUAACCAAUAACCGGAGAAGAGGCACAGCAGUACAGUUAUUAAAAGCAUCUGAGCUGAGCUCUGCCCUGACCUGAGUGAGGGGUUCUGGAACGGCCGGUGCAGCAUCCCGGCUGCUAACGGCUGGAGAGCUCAGGCCUUGGGGAGAGGGCUCAGGUUCUUCUUGACUCAACUUUUCUCCUUUGGAAGCUGAUGACAGUACAGGGCCCCACCACUUAGAUCCAACACAAAGUGUAGGAGACAGCGAAUAAAAUACCACCCAACCACAAUCCAAACUCGGGUCACAGAGAAAGAAAAGUCAAAUUUGUACAUAGCCACGUACCUUACCGAUGUUUGUCUGGAAGCGGAUUAACCUACUGAAAAGAUAACAGCAACGCGGCUCUUUAUCUCCGUUUACCUAAACUACUAUUACCUGUCACAGACUCUUAACUGGAGCAUCAUUCCCCAGCUGCAAAGGGCACAGAAACCGUUGAGGAAUGUGGUCUAUAGGAAGAGACCGCUUGAGAGGUAGAGGAGGAAACACAGCUGGCUGGUGUUGAGAAUGAGCAACAUGGAAAGCAACACUCUGCUAUGUGUCCUACUCCUAGGCAGAUGAGACAUUGGGAGUGGCCAUCAUUAACGGGCAUGGCACAAUCAAAUGAGCAGUUCUUAAAGCCGGAUAGAGUGCACCAUGAUGGAGGAGUACCCCCUGGAGGGGGGUGAAGGAGUGUCUCACCACACAUACCCCUUAAAAGGUUUGUGUUUAUGUGACAUUAUUGACACAAACUGUGACCAUAUAGACCAUUGUUGCAACUAAGGUCAUAUAGUGGCACCAAAUCUUGUACAGGGGAGGUCAAGUGGGGUAUCUAUGACAAGGUUAUGGUUUGCUGGUUAUGAUUAUACUAUCUGUAUGCAUGUAUCAUUUUUGUAUUUAAAGUUAUAAGUAUUGGCUCUAUACUGUCUGUAUUUCAAACUUGUGCUAUG